ACAUUUGCUGCCUUUCUGGGAGAGUUAGAAGCAAGCCACGUGGGUGACUUCUUUUCAAAGUUCUCUGCCUCAGAGGAGGAAGCCCCAUGGGUGGAGGCCAGGCCCGAGGCCAUCCUGCUCUGGGCCAGAGCGUGCCUGUGUCUGAUGAGCGAGGACAUGCCUCGUCUGGCUGAGCCUUCCAUUUCACACCGGCAGCUCGAACCCCCCAUCACGGCUUCCUUUUGGGCUCCCCUCCUCAGGGGACCGAGCUUGAAAUGUGCUUGCCCUUCAUCCCUAAGGCCUGCGUCCCUUCCUCAGAGAGGACUAAGCCCCUCUCCCAGUCUUGAUGUUCUCCGAGGCCCUUCUUAUUCACAGAACCUAUCUGGCUUAUUUAUUCGCUUGCUUGCUUCUGAUGUCUUCUCUUACUGAAAGGAAUCGAAGGGCCAAGGAAUGUGUUUUUCGUUGAUGUCAACUUGCUGCAAAGGACCACACCUGCUUCUCGACCCAGGAACGUGGGAAAGGGAAAGGCUUGGCUUGUUUUGGUGGAGAUGGAGAUGCUGGUAACAGUGGAGGAAUGCCCUCCUUCUGAUUCACAGUGGGGAGGUGCUCUGGGCCCCUGCCACUGCCCGAGGACUUCAGCUUUUGGUUGUCCUGCUGAGAGGAUGCGGCAUUUGAGCAGUAGCUUCUGGAGCCCAGAGUGAAGCCCCACCCAGGCACCCUGACAGGACCACAGGAAUGCUCCUGGCACAGCAAGCAGGACUCUUGAGAAGCUCAGCCUCCACGCUCCUUGUAGAUGUUCAGUUCAAACUCCACAGUUUGUGUGACUCACUGAAGGGCUUGGUUUGGCUCUCGCUGACGAGUCUGUCAUCGGUGCCAGGUGACACGCUUUUCCCCUCCUCCCGUCUAGUCCUCUCUCUUGCCCCAGGGCUUCUGGUGGGGAAGUUUAACCUCCUCUUCAUAAGCAGUGGGAGGGCUACUGUGCUGCCCUCUGGCCCAAGCUCUGGUAUUCCCUUUGCAGUGGUGGGUGCUCUCAUUCCUUUGCAAUGUGCCCUGCAGUGUGAACCCAGGGGAUCCAUGAGACAGGGAACUCACGUCUGUUUUCUUCAUUUGGUGUAGCAUGCCAUUGGGCGUUUGCCAGACAGGGCCUAUCAUGUGGGCCCUACACCUAUUCACACACCUGCCAUUUGCCUUCAGAAUCCUGUUCCCAGUGGGUAAUGGGUUUAAAAGCCCAUAGCUGAGUUUAUCCACAUUGGAUCCGACCCACAUUCCAAUGCUCUUGUAAGUCUCCAGUUGGUCAAAUGAGCAGUUUGAUCCCUUGAUCCUUCAAAAUACUGGAUAUAUUUAUUUCUUCUUGCCUUUUGAUCUUUCAAGCUUGAAAUUUCUCCGCACAUAAAAGUCUUCAAAAUGCCCUCAAA
rnacentral:lncRNA from 1 species